UUGAAUAUGUUGUGGUGGGCAUUGAAUGCCUCUAGUUUGGGGAGUGGUAGAUGUUUGUUUGUACAAUGUUAUAACUGGCUAUUGUAAUCAUGCUGUGUAACUGCAUCAUUUGUACACGUUUGUGUUGAUGAUAAUUACAAAUCAUUGUAAUUUAAUAAUGUAAUUAAAUAAUUAAUUGCAGCUGUGAAGGAAAUUAAGAAAUCCCACCUGGUUGAAAUGAGGGCUCUGAACAACCCCAUCAGUUCAUCAAGAUGGCACUGGAAAGCAUCUGCAUGCUAAUGGGAGAACCUUACACUGACUGGAAGAGUAUCAGACAGAUUAUAAUGAAGGAGAACUUUAUAUCACGCUAGUAAGGCUGUGGGCCUUUGGUGAAGUGGGCCAUUGCUCAGAAUUUUUUCUGAAUUUUUUCUAACAGCUAGCGUGGAAAUGUUUUCGGAUUAUUUUAGACCUGAGAACCCUGUCAGGAAACACUCUCAUUAUUUCAUACUCAGUCCCUCUAGGACGUUGAGAGCUAUGACCCAAUCCUGAACCCUGUCCUAUCCUAGACAACAACAGAAUCAUUACUGAGCUUGAGACUCUUAAGGAAGAGGCUGCAGAAGUUCAGAGGAAGAUGGAGGAGACUGAUACUGUAAUGGCUGAAGUUGACAGAGUCUCCCAGCAAUACCUGCCUCUCUCCACCUCCUGCUCUGCCAUGUACUUCACUCUGGAGUCACUCAAUCAGGUUGUGGACCUGAGGCUGAACUCAUCAUCUCAAGGACUGAUCUCUCAUUCAUAUACUGAAGAUCUAUAUAUAGACUGGGUUUAGGAACUAAGGACUGUAACACUAUAAGACUGGUUUAAUUAAUUAAAAUCAUUGUUGACUUGUACUCUACAUGUAUGACUGAAGUGUGUUUCUUAUUUUAUUGUCAUUUUUCAUUAUUUAAUCUCAUUUCUGUUUAUAAGUCAUUGCACCUGUUUCUGCAUUAA